rnacentral:rRNA from 1 species
AUGGAGAACGCCAACCAAGGUGUGGAUCCGCACGUGCUUGAUAUAGUCAAUUGCCCGGAUUGUGGAAGGCGGGUGGUGACGUUUGUGGCGAGGCGCAGCCAGUUUGCGGGCAAGAGGUUCUACAAGUGCCGCAACCACAACCUGGGGAGAGGCGGGUGUGAUUUCUAUUGGUGGCAACAAGCAUAUGCGGAGCACUUGGCUGGGCUUGGACCAGUCGUGCCUCCAUUGGCGCAGAUCAAUCAGGGAGAAAAUGGCAUCGGAGGAGCAGAUCAAGGUGGUCAGAUGCAGCCGGCGGAUCUAGCAGGAGGCCAGUAG